rnacentral:rRNA from 1 species
AGGGUUUGAUUCUGGCUCAGGAUGAACGCUGGCGGCGUGCCUAACACAUGCAAGUCGAGCGAAGCAAUUUCGCGGAAGUUUUCGGAUGGAAGUGGGAUUGACUGAGCGGCGGACGGGUGAGUAACGCGUGGGUAACCUGCCUCAUACAGGGGGAUAACAGCUAGAAAUGGCUGCUAAUACCGCAUAAGCGCACAGCUUCGCAUGAAGCAGUGUGAAAAACUCCGGUGGUAUGAGAUGGACCCGCGUCUGAUUAGGUAGUUGGUGGGGUAACGGCCCACCAAGCCGACGAUCAGUAGCCGACCUGAGAGGGUGACCGGCCACAUUGGGACUGAGACACGGCCCAA